rnacentral:snoRNA from 1 species
UAAUGGUGGUGAGGGCAAUUUCUAAGCAUACACUUAAUCUUUCCCAAGCUUAGUAAAGAUUCUUCUUUUUUCUGCCUGAAACUUAGAAUAUCACCUCUCAAACA